CCCAGCCCUAGGAGAGAAAACGGCGAAUGCGGGAGACGUGGUGAUUGCUCCCCUGGUACCCCCCCCAACCCCGUCCGAUUUUACUAUCUCCUGGGGGAGGCAUUCAGAGAAGCUGGAAAUGUAUCAACCCGGGAGCUGCGCGGGAGCGGGAGGAAAGGCGCCCAGCGGCUGGGUGGUCAGGGCAGGCUCCCCGGAGGCAGCGGCGAGGCCGGGGGAGAAGCGGGAGGCCGGGGCCGAGGCCCGGGCGGGGGCGGCCAGCCAGUUAGGGUUAGGGCGAGAGGAUGCGGCUUCCCGGCGGCAGAGGGCGCCUGGCGCUGCGGUCCGGCUCGCCGGAGCCGCCCGCGCGGGCGCCGAGAGGAGAGGCGAGGCGCGGCGAGGCGGGGAGCGCGAGCGGCGGCGGCCCCUGCCACGUCUGGCCGGCAGCGGCGGCGGGAGGAGGUGAGCGGCGCCGGCGCCGCGGGCAGGUGGGCAGGCAGCGGCCGGGCGGGCGCGCGGGGCCCCUGCUGCGGGCCCCGGGCCGGGGAGGUGGCGCCGGGACAGCGCGGUUCCCGCCACGCCGGCUCCGCCUCCGCGCGGGCUGACGGCCGAGGCCCGGGCGCCGAGCGGGUCCCGAGCGCAACUCGUGCGGCGGGCGCCGGGGGGACGCGAGCCGGGCCGCCCGUCGCGGCGCCGGACGCCGAUUGCCCGCCGCUGCGGGGCCCCGGCCGCGGCCGGGAAAAGUUGGGGCGGACCGCGAGCCCGCGUGGGCCGGGCGGGAAGUGCGCGUGCCGGGCGGACUCCGGGGGCCGGAGGGACGCGAUUCACCUCCCAGACUGCAGUGCUUUUGUCCUGGGGAAGUUAUGGAGGACCCCCUGAGUGGAUGGUAUUUUGGGGUUCCCAG
rnacentral:lncRNA from 1 species